UACGUAGGGGGCGAGCGUUGUCCGGAAUUAUUGGGCGUAAAGCGCGCGCAGGCGGUCCUUUAAGUCUGAUGUGAAAGCCCACGGCUCAACCGUGGAGGGUCAUUGGAAACUGGGGGACUUGAGUGCAGAAGAGGAGAGUGGAAUUCCACGUGUAGCGGUGAAAUGCGUAGAGAUGUGGAGGAACACCAGUGGCGAAGGCGACUCUCUGGUCUGUAACUGACGCUGAGGCGCGAAAGCGUGGGGAGCGAACAGG
rnacentral:rRNA from 1 species